rnacentral:rRNA from 1 species
AUUGAACGCUGGCGGCAGGCUUAACACAUGCAAGUCGAACGGUAACAUAAAGAAGCUUGCUUCUUUGAUGACGAGUGGCGGACGGGUGAGUAAUGCUUGGGAAUCUAGCUUAUGGAGGGGGAUAACUACGGGAAACUGUAGCUAAUACCGCGUAGAAUCGGGAGAUGAAAGUGUGGGACCUUCGGGCCACAUGCCAUAGGAUGAGCCCAAGUGGGAUUAGGUAGUUGGUGAGGUAAAGGCUCACCAAGCCGACGAUCUCUAGCUGGUCUGAGAGGAUGACCAGCCACACUGGGACUGAGACACGGCCCAGACUCCUACGGGAGGCAGCAGUGGGGAAUAUUGCGCAAUGGGGGCAACCCUGACGCAGCCAUGCCGCGUGAAUGAAGAAGGCCUUCGGGUUGUAAAGUUCUUUCGGUAGCGAGGAAGGCAUUUAGUUUAAUAAACUGGAUGAUGACGUAACUACAGAAGAGCACCGCA